rnacentral:lncRNA from 1 species
GCCCAGUUGUCACUAAGUUAGAUUCAUUUGAUGUGUGUUUUUCAUUUGUAGGCAGAGUUUCAUUUUGAGCAGGGACUAGAUGAUUUUGGUGUGGUUUGGGGAAAUUGGCUAACUAUUUUCUGUUUAGAGUUUUGAGUACCUGAGAUGUAGUUUCAGCGAAAGUGUGUUACCAAUUGGGAAAAACUGUAAUACUACUGGGAUUUAGAGAGAGAGAGAGAGAGAGUGUGUGAACUACUUGCAUGUCUAUCUACUGUGUGUGACUGUGUGUGUAUAUGAGAGGGGCAAAAUAUUGUGUGUGUGAGUGUGUGUGGCAAAGUGUGUGUGAUGUCUAUCUGAAUGUUAUGUGUGUAUUUGAGAGAGAGACUGAAUGUGUGGGUGAAUGUGUGUGUGUUUAUGUGUGUGUGUGUGUGGGGGGGGCAAAGUGUGUGUGAUGUCUAUCUGAAUGUUAUGUGUAUAUUUGAGAGAGAGGCUUAGUGUGUGUGUGUGUGUGUGUGUGGUGGUGGAGAAGCCAAGAGGGAUGCUAUCACUGGGCUUAAAGAGAAGAACUCUUCCAUUGCUGGGCAACCUUCAACCUCCCUUCACAUUAGUUAUGUAGGAGAACCCAAGCAGUGGGGGAGGAAGAUGACAGAACAUACAGAUAGGGGAGGAAGAUGACAGAUAGGGGAGGAAGAUGACAGAACACACAGAUAGGGGAGGAAGAUGACAGAUAGGGGAGGAAGAUGACAGAACAUACAGAUAGGGGAGGAAGAUGACAGAACAUACAGAUAGGGGAGGAAGAUGACAGAAUUUACAGAUAGGGAGGAAGAUGACAGAACAUACAGAUAGGGGAGGAAGAUGACAGAACAUACAGAUAGGGGAGGAAGAUGACAGAACAUACAGAUAGGGGAGGAAGAUGACAGAACGUACAGAUGGGGAGGAAGAUGACAGAACACACAGAUAGGGGAGGAAGAUGACAGAACACACAGAUAGGGGAGGAAGAUGACAGAACACACAGAUAGGGUAGGAAGAUGACAGAACACACAGAUAGGGGAGGAAGAUGACAGAAUAUACAGAUAGGGGAGGAAGAUGACAGAAUUUACAGAUAGGGGAGUAAGAUGACAGAAUUUACAGAUAGGGGAGUAAGAUGACAGAACAUGCAGAUAGGGGAGGAAGAUGACAGAACUUACAGAUAGGGGAGGAAGAUGACAGAAUAUACAGAUAGGGGAGGAAGAUGACAGAUAGGGGAGGAAGAUGACAGAUAGGGGAGGAAGAUGACAGAACAUACAGAUAGGAGAGGAAGAUGACAGAACAUACAGAUAGGAGAGGAAGAUGACAGAAUAUACAGAUAGGGGAGGAAGAUGACAGAACGCACAGAUGGGGGAGGAAGAUGACAGAAUAUACAGAUAGGGGAGGAAGAUGACAGAAUAUACAGAUAGGGGAGGAAGAUGACAGAACAUACAGAUAGGGGAGGAAGAUGACAGAAUAUACAGAUGGGGAGGAAGAUGACAGAAUAUACAGAUAGGGGAGAAAGAUGACAGAACAUACAGAUAGGGGAGGAUGUGAGAGGGAGGGUGAAGAACAGUACCAUCCAUUGUCCUCUCUGGCUUUUCUCAAAGAAAUUCAUUUUAUAUUGAUAAAAUGCUUUAAAAGCAAUGCAUAAACAUAAAUCCAACAACGUAGUCUAAAACAUACUGUACGUACAUUUCCAUCGCUAUAAUACACAAGACA